rnacentral:lncRNA from 1 species
CCUGUACACCAACACCCACACCAACAUCCACACCAACACCUGCACACUAACACCUGCACACCAAUAUCCACACCAACACCUGCACACCAACGUCCACACCAACACCUGCACACCAACACCUGCACACCAACGUCCACACCAGCACCUGCACACCAACGUCCACACCAACACCUGCACACCAACAUCCACACCAACACCUGCACACCAAUAUCCACACCAACACCUGCACACCAAUGUCCACACCAACACCUGCACACCAAUAUCCACACCAACACCUGCACACCAACGUCCACACCAACACCUGCACACCAACACCUGCACACCAACGUCCACACCAACACCUGCACACCAACGUCCACACCAACACCUGCACACCAACGUCCACACCAACACCUGCACACCAAUAUCCACACCAACACCUGC